rnacentral:rRNA from 1 species
AGCGAACGCUGGCGGCAGGCUUAACACAUGCAAGUCGAGCGGGCAUCCUUGUGGUGUCAGCGGCAGACGGGUGAGUAACGCGUGGGAACGUGCCCUUCGGUUCGGAAUAACUCAGGGAAACUUGAGCUAAUACCGGAUACGCCCUUUUGGGGAAAGGCUUGACUGCCGAAGGAUCGGCCCGCGUCUGAUUAGCUAGUUGGUGAGGUUACGGCUCACCAAGGCGACGAUCAGUAGCUGGUCUGAGAGGAUGAUCAGCCACACUGGGACUGAGACACGGCCCAGACUCCUACGGGAGGCAGCAGUGGGGAAUAUUGGACAAUGGGGGCAACCCUGAUCCAGCCAUGCCGCGUGAGUGAUGACGGCCUUAGGGUUGUAAAGCUCUUUUCUCCGGGACGAUAAUGACGGUACCGGAGGAAUAAGCCCCGGCUAACUUCGUGCCAGCAGCCGCCGCGGUAA